GUGGGGAAUCUUGCGCAAUGGGCGAAAGCCUGACGCAGCGACGCCGCGUGGGGGAUGAAGGCCUUCGGGUUGUAAACCCCUUUCAGCAGGGACGAAGCGAAAGUGACGGUACCUGCAGAAGAAGCGCCGGCUAACUACGUGCCAGCAGCCGCGGUAACACGUAGGGCGCAAGCGUUGUCCGGAAUUAUUGGGCGUAAAGAGCUCGUAGGCGGACUGUCACGUCUGCUGUGAAAAGCUAGGGCUUAACCCUGGCCUUGCAGUGGAUACGGGCAGACUAGAGGUAGGUAGGGGAGAAUGGAAUUCCCGGUGUAGCGGUGAAAUGCGCAGAUAUCGGGAGGAACACCGGUGGCGAAGGCGGUUCUCUGGGCCUUACCUGACGCUGAGGAGCGAAAGCGUGGGGAGCGAACAGGAUUAGAUACCCCAGUAGUCC
rnacentral:rRNA from 1 species